rnacentral:rRNA from 1 species
GACGUAGGUGGCGAACGUUAUCCGGAAUUAUUGGGCGUAAAGGAUGCGUAGAUGGUGUAGUAAGUUAUCGGUGGCAAAUCGAGGCUCAACCUCGUGGAAGUCGGUAAUACUGCUAUGCUAGAGGAUAGGAGAGGUUAACGGAACUCCCUGUGGAGCGGUGAAAUGCGUAGAUAUAGGGAAGAACACCAAUCAGGCGAAGGCAGUUAACUAUUCUAUUUCUGACAUUGAGGCAUGAAAGCGUGGGGAGCAAAACGG